CAAGGUUAACCGAAUAGGGGAGCCGGAGGGAAACCGAGUCUUAAUUGGGCGUUAAGUUGCAGGGUAUAGACCCGAAACCCGGUGAUCUAGCCAUGGGCAGGUUGAAGGUUGGGUAACACUAACUGGAGGACCGAACCGACUAAUGUUGAAAAAUUAGCGGAUGACCUGUGGCUGGGGGUGAAAGGCCAAUCAAACCGGGAGAUAGCUGGUUCUCCCCGAAAGCUAUUUAGGUAGCGCCUCGUGAAUUCAUCUCCGGGGGUAGAGCACUGUUUCGGCUAGGGGGCCAUCCCGGCUUACCAACCCGAUGCAAACUGCGAAUACCGGAGAAUGUUAUCACGGGAGACACACGGCGGGUGCUAACGUCCGUCGUGAAGAGGGAAACAACCCAGACCGCCAGCUAAGGUCCCAAAGUCAUGGUUAAGUGGGAAACGAUGUGGGAAGGCCCAGACAGCCAGGAUGUUGGCUUAGAAGCAGCCAUCAUUUAAAGAAAGCGUAAUAGCUCACUGGUCGAGUCGGCCUGCGCG
rnacentral:rRNA from 1 species